rnacentral:rRNA from 1 species
UUUAAAUGUAAAUUGAAGACCAAAGGAGUAAUAGUUAUGUUCUCGAAAAUUGAAGAUUUUGGCGGUAUUUUAGUCUAUUCAGAGGAACCUGUCCUGUAAUUGAUAAUCCACGAUUAAUUUUACUUGUUCUAUUAGUUUAUAUAUCGUCGUGUUGAAUAUUUUAAAAGAAUUUUAAUAUUCGUGAUUUAUGAUUUUAAGAUAAGUCAGAUCAAGAUGUAGCUUAUGUUCAAGGAGAGAUGGGUUACAAUAAAUUUAUUUUUGGAUAAUAAAAUGAAAUAUUUAUUAAAAAUUGGAUUUGAAAGUAAUUUGAUUAAUUUAUUUUAAAUGAUUUUAGCUCUAGAAUGUGU